UGGCGGAGCCCUGCUGAGGGCGUGCGGGGCCCGGCGGGGAUUAUUCUCCAAGAGGAUUUAGACCUUGCUUCAAAAGAUGCCUGAUGCCUGUGAACCAGUGCUUGAAGAUAUUGAUGAUACUGUGUCAGCAGAAGAUUUGAAGCCACGUGAUCGGCAGUUUGUAAGAAAGAACGUUUUUCCAAAAGUGCGACAACGCAAUUCACAAAAAAAUACUCGGGCAGACGAUGAUCCCCCAAGUGACAGUGGAAUCUGGCUGAAAAUCUAUUCCGGUUGUUUUCAGCCAAAAAGGACAAUUUGGAAAAUGAAGUCUGAACCAACAGAAACUGUUUCCUUGGGCUGCGCUGCUCUACGUGAUAGAAAGCCUGGGUACUGGAAGAAAGAAUACCUCUUCAAACAAAUAGCUGCUGUCAAAAUGAGAGUAAGGCGACUUGUUAAACCUGUAGAUCCUUCUACAGGUCUUCCAUGUAAAAACAAAGAAGCUAUGAAAGCCUCUGGCUUGAGGUGGAGAAUUGUUCUAAAGGACAAAAAUGGAAAGGAACACGUAAUGGAGAAGGCAAACCUGUCGAUUAAGGACACAUCUGUUACUAUACUUUGGUAUAGUACAAAUUGGCCAUGCUUAGACAUCCUGUCAAGCCUGAAACUGUUUGGAGUUAUGCCAUUGCUUCCUGAGCAAAGCAGAGCUCCCAGCAAGAAUGGACCUCGUCGACGUUCCUUAAUUGGUGAAUACCAUCUUGCUAACCUGACUGAAAGUAGUGUAGCCGUUGGUGCUGAUGAGCUUGGCCAGCUCUUCAGUCUGAAUCCAGGACUCGUCGUAGGACUUUGGGAGGAUCUUCUGACAAGCUUGAAACUAAGGUGAGGCGACUAGAGCAGACUGGUCACCAAGUCGUCUUCUCUGCGAUACAUGGCAGGGAUGCGCUCUUAGAUGUCUUUGAAGCUUGAUGGGAAGAUGCUGCAUGAGAUGAAAAGCCUUGUCCUUGAGGAGCCAAAGUGUUGGCUGGAUGUUAUCUCUGUUUGGAGAAAGCUUCAUGGGCGUGAGGGGCAAAAAGACAAUGUCUCUCAAGAAAACCCAUCGCUUCUCAAGAGCAAAUCAGAAGAAGAGACAAAUAUUGCAAGCGACAGGCAGAAACCCAAACAAGUGAGAGAGACCGUGUCUGAGCAACGUCAGGCGGAAGCUGGAGA